rnacentral:rRNA from 1 species
ACGCGUUAGCUACGUUACUCAGGAAUAAAUUCCCGAACAACUAGUCAGCAUCGUUUAGGGCGUGGACUACCAGGGUAUCUAAUCCUGUUUGCUCCCCACGCUUUCGUGCAUGAGCGUCAGUAUUAUCCCAGGGGGCUGCCUUCGCCAUUGGUAUUCCUCCACAUCUCUACGCAUUUCACUGCUACACGUGGAAUUCUACCCCCCUCUGACAUACUCUAGCUAUGCAGUCACAAGCGCAAUUCCCAGGUUAAGCCCGGGGAUUUCACGCCUGUCUUACAUAACCGCCUGCGCACGCUUUACGCCCAGUAAUUCCGAUUAACGCUUGCACCCUACGUAUUACCGCGGCUGCUGGCACGUAGUUAGCCGGUGCUUAUUCUUCAGGUACCGUCAUUCGCAGACUGUGUUAGAGCUGCUGUUUCUUCCCUGACAAAAGAGCUUUACAACCCGAAGGCCUUCUUCACUCACGCGGCAUUGCUGGAUCAGGGUUGCCCCCAUUGUCCAAAAUUCCCCACUGCUGCCUCCCGUA